GACGAACGCUGGCGGCGUGCUUAACACAUGCAAGUCGAACGGAAAGGCCCUUCGGGGUACUCGAGUGGCGAACGGGUGAGUAACACGUGGGUGAUCUGCCCUGCACUUUGGGAUAAGCCUGGGAAACUGGGUCUAAUACCGGAUAGGACCACGCGCUUCAUGGUGUGUGGUGGAAAGCUUUUGCGGUGUGGGAUGGGCCCGCGGCCUAUCAGCUUGUUGGUGGGGUAAUGGCCUACCAAGGCGACGACGGGUAGCCGGCCUGAGAGGGUGACCGGCCACACUGGGACUGAGAUACGGCCCAGACUCCUACGGGAGGCAGCAGUGGGGAAUAUUGCACAAUGGGCGCAAGCCUGAUGCAGCGACGCCGCGUGAGGGAUGACGGCCUUCGGGUUGUAAACCUCUUUCAAUAGGGACGAAGCGCAAGUGACGGUACCUAUAGAAGAAGGACCGGCCAACUACGUGCCAGCAGCCGCGGUAAUACGUAGGGUCCGAGCGUUGUCCGGAAUUACUGGGCGUAAAGAGCUCGUAGGUGGUUUGUCGCGUUGUUCGUGAAAACUCACAGCUUAACUGUGGGCGUGCGGGCGAUACGGGCAGACUAGAGUACUGCAGGGGAGACUGGAAUUCCUGGUGUAGCGGUGGAAUGCGCAGAUAUCAGGAGGAACACCGGUGGCGAAGGCGGGUCUCUGGGCAGUAACUGACGCUGAGGAGCGAAAGCGUGGGGAGCGAACAGGAUUAGAUACCCUGGUAGUCCACGCCGUAAACGGUGGGUACUAGGUGUGGGUUUCCUUCCUUGGGAUCCGUGCCGUAGCUAACGCAUUAAGUACCCCGCCUGGGGAGUACGGCCGCAAGGCUAAAACUCAAAGGAAUUGACGGGGGCCCGCACAAGCGGCGGAGCAUGUGGAUUAAUUCGAUGCAACGCGAAGAACCUUACCUGGGUUUGACAUGCACAGGACGCCGGCAGAGAUGUCGGUUCCCUUGUGGCCUGUGUGCAGGUGGUGCAUGGCUGUCGUCAGCUCGUGUCGUGAGAUGUUGGGUUAAGUCCCGCAACGAGCGCAACCCUUGUCUCAUGUUGCCAGCACGUUAUGGUGGGGACUCGUGAGAGACUGCCGGGGUCAACUCGGAGGAAGGUGGGGAUGACGUCAAGUCAUCAUGCCCCUUAUGUCCAGGGCUUCACACAUGCUACAAUGGCCGGUACAAAGGGCUGCGAUGCCGUGAGGUGGAGCGAAUCCUUUCAAAGCCGGUCUCAGUUCGGAUCGGGGUCUGCAACUCGACCCCGUGAAGUCGGAGUCGCUAGUAAUCGCAGAUCAGCAACGCUGCGGUGAAUACGUUCCCGGGCCUUGUACACACCGCCCGUCACGUCAUGAAAGUCGGUAACACCCGAAGCCGGUGGCCUAACCCUUGUGGAGGGAGCCGUCGAAGGUGGGAUCGGCGAUUGGGACG
rnacentral:rRNA from 2 species